rnacentral:rRNA from 1 species
CAGCAGCCACGGUAAUACGGAGGGUGCAAGCGUUAAUCGGAAUUACUGGGCGUAAAGCGCACGCAGGCGGUUUGUUAAGUCAGAUGUGAAAUCCCCGGGCUCAACCUGGGAACUGCAUCUGAUACUGGCAAGCUUGAGUCUCGUAGAGGGGGGUAGAAUUCCAGGUGUAGCGGUGAAAUGCGUAGAGAUCUGGAGGAAUACCGGUGGCGAAGGCGGCCCCCUGGACGAAGACUGACGCUCAGGUGCGAAAGCGUGGGGAGCAAACAGGAUUAGAUACCCCGGUAGUCCCUGUCUCUUAUAC